UACAGAGGGUGCAAGCGUUGUUCGGAAUUAUUGGGCGUAAAGGGUGCGUAGGCGGUGCGGUAAGUCUGUAGUGAAAUCUCUGGGCUCAACUCAGAGUCUGCUAUAGAAACUGCCGUGCUUGAGUGUGGGAGAGGUGAGUGGAAUUCCCGGUGUAGCAGUGAAAUGCGUAGAGAUCGGGAGGAACAUCUGUGGCGAAGGCGGCCACCUGGACCAACACUGACACUGAGGCACGAAAGCGUGGGGAGCAAACAGG
rnacentral:rRNA from 1 species